rnacentral:lncRNA from 1 species
GACCUCGUCGUGCAGGACCUGAAGCAGGCCGUGGCGCAGCUGGAGGACCAGGCCUAGCACUGGGGCCGCCUUCCCCACCCCGCUUCUGGGAAGCCCGUGGCAGGGCACAGGGUUGUCCCUCCAGUUCCCUCCUGAGGGCUGUGCCAGGAUGACUGUCUCAUGCCCCCUCUGCAUUUUGUCCUGGAGUGCCAGCGAGUGUGCACCCCCAGUUUCCUUCCCUGGACCCCUGCAGAGCUCACAGGGCCCAGGACACCAACGCCGCAUAGGACUGCCCACAUGGGACCGCCCACAUAGGACCGCCCACAUAGGACCGCCCACAUGGGACCGCCCACAUAGAACCGUCCUCCAGUGGUGAAGCGGAAACACUUAGCUUUAUCCACCCUCCCCACUGGGAACUGGGCACGCCUGUUGUGAGUGCCCUUUCCUGGAAGGUGUUUUUAUCUGGAAGAUAGAAUCCAAGUAUUUAUAACUCAUUGUCAGCCAAAUGCUAUCAUGAACGUAGGAAACUUGAUUUUUUUGUUUUGAUCAUGGCCUCUACAUGCACCUUUCCAGAGUGGUCUCUUCUCAGGCCCUUUUUAGUCCCUUUCCAAAGCUGCCCCCACCACCCUGCUCCUCUGGCCUCAGUGCACAGUGGCCCCCAGCCUCGGCCAGGCCUGCUCUGCUCAGCGCCCACCGCCCACCACCCCUCCUGCUUCCCCGAGCCUGACCCUGUUCCGCCCACUGGCAAUCAGGGCUGCGCACUUCCCUGUCCACGGUCCCCAGGCCUUCCUGUCUUGUCCCUUUUGAUCAUUAUUAACUCAGGGUUUCAGCUCCAACCUCGCUGAGUUGGUGCAGCUCCAGGUCAUUCCUGGGGUGGGAAUCGGAUCAUCCCUGACUCAGCUUUUACCUUAAUUUUAUUUGCAGAGGAUUCUUUUCUCAAAAUGCUCUGGCAUUUGGACACACAUCACAUGUCGAUAUUUGCAUAGGAGUCAUUUUCAGUGGAAUAACAUUUUUAAUGUGUGGUUUUACGGUUCAAGGAACUACUUGAUGAUUUUGAGGAAACACUUGCCAGAAACUAAAUUAACGAAUAAAAGAUUUCAGUGCCCG